AUGGCAAUCACGUACCAUGCACCGCGUCAAUCAGGCGAUCAACCAGUGGCACCCCGUGGCUCAAGGGUGGCCGCGGACAUUGUCAUGGACGACGGCACCGUGAUCCGGACCACCGUUACGUCGUCCGCCUGUGAUGUCUUGCUCUUUCUCCGGGAGCUCCAGGAACUAUUCUGCAAAGAGAUCCAUGACCACAAUUGCCUCAACAAGGUCCAAGAGCACCACCAUUGCCUCAUCGUCGGCCUCGAUACGGAGUGGCACCAAAUCUCCGUGACCGGCGGGAAGCCCCGGUACCAGAUCGCCGUCCUCCAGCUCUGCGUCGGCGACCGCUGCCUUGUCUACCAGAUUUUCCACGCCGACUACAUCCCUGCCGAGCUCGCGGCCUUCCUCGCCAACCCUGACUUCUGCUUCGUCGCCGUCGGCGUGGGUGGCGACGUCAAGCGGCUGCACGACGACUGUAACCUUGAGGUGGCCCACACGAUGGACCUGCCUCAGGUCGCGGCGGUUGUGCUCGGCCGGCCAGAGCUCCGGCAGGCAGGGCUCAAGACCCUAGCGCGAGAGGUGAUGAACACUCUCAUCGAGAAGCCGAAGAAGGUGAUAAUGAGCAAGUGGGCCGCGCCGCACCUGUCAAGGGAGCAGAUCCGGUACGCCUGCAUCGACGCCUUCGUGUCCUUCGACGUUGGCCGCCGGCUACUCUGCGAACCCCGUGUUUAG
rnacentral:rRNA from 1 species